UCCCUUUCCGAACCCGGAAGCUAAGCCCGAUUGCGCUGAUGGUACUGCACCUGGGAGGGUGUGGGAGAGUAGGUCGCCGCCAACC
rnacentral:rRNA from 2 species